rnacentral:rRNA from 1 species
CCUACGGGUGGCAGCAGUGGGGAAUAUUGGGCAAUGGGCGCGAGCCUGACCCAGCAACGCCGCGUGAAGGAAGAAGGCUUUCGGGUUGUAAACCUCUUUUCUCAGGGACGAAGCAAGUGACGGUACCUGAGGAAUAAGCCACGGCUAACUACGUGCCAGCAGCCGCGGUAAUACGGAGGUGGCAAGCGUUCUCCGGAUUUACUGGGUGUAAAGGGAGUUUAGGCGGGAAAGGAAGGCAGAUGUGAAAACUGUGGGCUCAACCUUGGGACUGCAUUUGAAACUGUUUUUCUUGAGUACUGGAGAGGCAGGCGGAAUUCCUAGUGUAGCGGUGAAAUGCGUAGAUAUUAGGAGGAACACCAGUGGCGAAGGCGGUCUGCUGGACAGCAACUGACGCUGAGGCGCGAAAGCGUGGGGAGCAAACAGGAUUAGAUACCCGAGUAGUC